CACAUGCAGUCGACGGAUCCUUCGGGAUUAGUGGCGGACGGGUGAGUAACACGUGGGAACGUGCCCUUUGGUUCGGAACAACUCAGGGAAACUUGAGCUAAUACCGGAUAAGCCUUUCGAGGGAAAGAUUUAUCGCCAUUGGAGCGGCCCGCGUAGGAUUAGCUAGUUGGUGGGGUAAAGGCCCACCAAGGCUACGAUCCUUAGCUGGUCUGAGAGGAUGAUCAGCCACAUUGGGACUGAGACACGGCCCAAACUCCUACGGGAGGCAGCAGUGGGGAAUCUUGCGCAAUGGGCGAAAGCUCGUGACGCAGCCAUGCCGCGUGAAUGAUGAAGGUCUUAGGAUUGUAAAAUUCUUUUCACCGGGGACGAUAAUGACGGUUCCCGGAGAAGAAGCCCCGGCUAACUUCGUGCCAGCGGCCGCGGUAAUUACGAAGGGGGCUAGC
rnacentral:rRNA from 1 species